GGGUAGGGGGUGCUUGCACCCCUGAGACCGGCGCACGGGUGCGGAACGCGUAUGGAACCUGCCCCUGUCAGGGGAAUAGCCCAGGGAAACUUGGAUUAAUGCCCCAUGGUAUCGGAGCAUCGCAUGAUGUUCCGAUUAAAGAUUUAUCGGACAGGGAUGGCCAUGCGUACCAUUAGCUUGAUGGUGGGGUAACGGCCCACCAUGGCGACGAUGGUUAGGGGCCCUGAGAGGGGGAUCCCCCACACUGGUACUGAGACACGGACCAGACUCCUACGGGAGGCAGCAGUGAGGAAUAUUGGACAAUGGUCGGAAGACUGAUCCAGCCAUGCCGCGUGCAGGAUGACGGCCCUAUGGGUUGUAAACUGCUUUUAUACGGGAAGAAACGCACCUACGUGUAGGUGUCUGACGGUACCGUAAGAAUAAGGACCGGCUAACUCCGUGCCAGCAGCCGCGGUAAUACGGAGGGUCCGAGCGUUAUCCGGAAUCAUUGGGUUUAAAGGGUCCGUAGGCGGGCCUGUAAGUCAGGGGUGAAAGUUUGUGGCUCAACCAUAAAAUUGCCUUUGAUACUGCAGGUCUUGAGUCAUGGUGGGGUUGCCGGAACAUGUGGUGUAGCGGUGAAAUGCAUAGAUAUCACAUAGAACACCGAUCGCGAAGGCAGGUGACCAACCAUGUACUGACGCUGAUGGACGAAAGCGUGGGUAGCGAACGGGAUUAGAUACCCCGGUAGUCCACGCCGUAAACGAUGGAUACUAGCUGUGGGGGCGCAAGCCUCCGUGGCCAAGCGAAAGUGAUAAGUAUCC
rnacentral:rRNA from 1 species